UCUAAUACCGGAUACGAGUUUCACGGGCAUCCGUGAUUCUGGAAAGCUCCGGCGGUGAAGGAUGAGCCCGCGGCCUAUCAGCUUGUUGGUGAGGUAAUGGCUCACCAAGGCGACGACGGG
rnacentral:rRNA from 1 species